AUUGAACGCUGGCGGCAUGCCUUACACAUGCAAGUCGAACGGUAACAGGUCUUCGGAUGCUGACGAGUGGCGAACGGGUGCGUAAUACAUCGGAACGUGCCCGAUCGUGGGGGAUAACGAAGCGAAAGCUUUGCUAAUACCGCAUAAGAUCUACGGAUGAAAGCAGGGGACCGCAAGGCCUUGCGCGAACGGAGCGGCCGAUGGCAGAUUAGGUAGUUGGUGGGAUAAAAGCUUACCAAGCCGACGAUCUGUAGCUGGUCUGAGAGGACGACCAGCCACACUGGGACUGAGACACGGCCCAGACUCCUACGGGAGGCAGCAGUGGGGAAUUUUGGACAAUGGGCGAAAGCCUGAUCCAGCCAUGCCGCGUGCAGGAUGAAGGCCUUCGGGUUGUAAACUGCUUUUGUACGGAACGAAAAGACUCUGGUUAAUACCUGGGGUCCAUGACGGUACCGUAAGAAUAAGCACCGGCUAACUACGUG
rnacentral:rRNA from 1 species